CCAGGGGGGGCCUAAUANUGCAAGUCGAGCGAAUGGGAUUAAGAGCUUGCUCUUAUGCAAGUUGAGCGGCGGACGGGUGAGUAACACGUGGGUAACCUGCCCAUAAGACUGGGAUAACUCCGGGAAACCGGGGCUAAUACCGGAUAACAUUUUGAACCGCAGGGUUCGAAAUUGAAAGGCGGCUUCGGCUGUCACUUAUGGAUGGACCCGCGUCGCAUUAGCUAGUUGGUGAGGUAACGGCUCACCAAGGCAACGAUGCGUAGCCAACCUGAGAGGGUGAUCGGCCACACUGGGACUGAGACACGGCCCAGACUCCUACGGGAGGCAGCAGUAGGGAAUCUUCCGCAAUGGACGAAAGUCUGACGGAGCAACGCCGCGUGAGUGAUGAAGGCUUUCGGGUCGUAAAACUCUGUUGUUAGGGAAGAACAAGUGCUAGUUGAAUAAGCUGGCACCUUGACGGUACCUAACCAGAAAGCCACGGCUAACUACGUGCCAGCAGCCGCGGUAAUACGUAGGUGGCAAGCGUUAUCCGGAAUUAUUGGGCGUAAAGCGCGCGCAGGUGGUUUCUUAAGUCUGAUGUGAAAGCCCACGGCUCAACCGUGGAGGGUCAUUGGAAACUGGGAGACUUGAGUGCAGAAGAGGAAAGUGGAAUUCCAUGUGUAGCGGUGAAAUGCGUAGAGAUAUGGAGGAACACCAGUGGCGAAGGCGACUUUCUGGUCUGUAACUGACACUGAGGCGCGAAAGCGUGGGGAGCACACAGGAUUAGAUACCCUGGUAGUCCACGCCGUAAACGAUGAGUGCUAAGUGUUAGAGGGUUUCCGCCCUUUAGUGCUGAAGUUAACGCAUUAAGCACUCCGCCUGGGGAGUACGGCCGCAAGGCUGAAACUCAAAGGAAUUGACGGGCGCCCGCACAACCGGUGGAACAUGUGGUUUAAUUCGAAGCAACGCGAAGAACCUUACCAGGUCUUGACAUCCUCUGAAAACCCUAGAGAUAGGGCUUCUCCUUCGGGAGCAGAAUGACAGGUGGUGCAUGGUUGUCGUCACCUCCUGUCCUGAAAUGUUGGGUUAAGUCCCCCACCAACCCCACCCUUGAUCUUAGUGCCAUCAUUAAUUUGGCCAUCUAAGGUAACUGCCGGGGACCACCCCAAAAAAAGGUGGGGGGNNGGCAAAACUCCUCGCCCUUUAAACCCNNGCUACCCC
rnacentral:rRNA from 1 species